rnacentral:rRNA from 1 species
CCUGAGAAACCCAAAAGAUCGAAUGGGGAGAUUCAUCGUCAGCGAUCCCGGCGCGUGUGCGGUUCGCGAUGUCGGGGACUUCGGUCCCGCGGCACGCGUCCGUACGUUCAAUUGUCGGGUGUCGUCGGCGUGCACUUCUCCCCUAGUAGGACGUCGCGACCCGUUGGGUGUCGGUCUACGGCCCGGGUGGGCGCCUGUCACGUGCAACGCUUCACGGCGUCGCGUGGCAGACCCCCGGUUGUCUGACCAGCUGCCCGGCGGUACUCGCACGGUAUCGGGCCGCAAAUAUUCGAACUGCGUCCGGCCCGCCGCAAGCGAGGCAAGUGUUUCCCGGAUGUACGGACCUAGCGCCGUCACCGGGCCUGGCCAGCUGUUGGUCGGCGGUGUCCUGGGACUGGCUCACGAAUUAUGAUACCGGUCGGCGACGCUACUGCUUUGGGUACUUUCAGGACCCGUCUUGAAACACGGACCAAGGAGUCUAACAUGUGCGCGAGUCAUUGGGAACUAAUAAGCCUAAAGGCGCAAUGAAAGUGAAGGUCGGCCCCGCGCCGACCGAGGGAGGAUGGGCCGCGUCACGAUUCGGUCCCGCACUCCCGGGGCGUCUCGUUCUCAUUGCGAGAAGAGGCGCACCCAGAGCGUACACGUUGGGACCCGAAAGAUG